CGAACGCUGGCGGCGUGCUUAACACAUGCAAGUCGAACGGAAAGGCCCUGCUUUUGUGGGGUGCUCGAGUGGCGAACGGGUGAGUAACACGUGAGUAACCUGCCCUUGACUUUGGGAUAACUUCAGGAAACUGGGGCUAAUACCGGAUAGGAGCUCCUGCUGCAUGGGGGGGGUUGGAAAGUUUCGGCGGUUGGGGAUGGACUCGCGGCUUAUCAGCUUGUUGGUGGGGUAGUGGCUUACCAAGGCUUUGACGGGUAGCCGGCCUGAGAGGGUGACCGGCCACAUUGGGACUGAGAAACGGCCCAGACUCCUACGGGAGGCAGCAGUGGGGAAUAUUGCACAAUGGGCGGAAGCCUGAUGCAGCAACGCCGCGUGCGGGAUGACGGCCUUCGGGUUGUAAACCGCUUUCGCCUGUGACGAAGCGUGAGUGACGGUAAUGGGUAAAGAAGCACCGGCUAACUACGUG
rnacentral:rRNA from 1 species